rnacentral:rRNA from 1 species
AUUGAACGCUGGCGGCAUGCCUUACACAUGCAAGUCGAACGGCAGCACGGGAGCUUGCUCCUGGUGGCGAGUGGCGAACGGGUGAGUAAUACAUCGGAACGUACCCAGGAGUGGGGGAUAACGUAGCGAAAGUUACGCUAAUACCGCAUAUUCUGUGAGCAGGAAAGCGGGGGAUCGCAAGACCUCGCGCUCUUGGAGCGGCCGAUGUCGGAUUAGCUAGUUGGUGAGGUAAAAGCUCACCAAGGCGACGAUCCGUAGCAGGUCUGAGAGGAUGAUCUACCACACUGGGACUGAGACACGGACCAGACUCCUACGGGAGGCAGCAGUGGGGAAUUUUGGACAAUGGGGGCAACCCUGAUCCAGCCAUGCCGCGUGAGUGAAGAAGGCCUUCGGGUUGUAAAGCUCUUUCGGCGGGGAAGAGAUGGCAACGGCUAAUAUCCGUUGUUGAUGACGGUACCCGCAUAAGAAGCACCGGCUAACUACGUGCCAGCCGCCGCCGUAA